GGAGUGGCGAUCUGACUCUGUGAGGUCCUGGGGGAGGCGGGGAGGCACCAAUGCCACGCCCUCGUGUUGGGCUCCAUUGCGGACUGGAUUACGGAGCCGCUUCUGAGAAGUCACUGAAGGGCUUCAAGAGAACUGGGCCAUUAGCUGACUGAACUUUCCUCUGACAGCGAUGAGACAAGCUUCUUGAGGGGGACGAGCACAGAGGCGCCUGGCGAGGAGCUGCUGAGAGGAGCGAGGACCCCUGAGCCGGGCAGCGGCGAGGAUGACCAGGGUCAGCGUCAGACCCAGGACCCUGCUCGGAUCUGCUGCUGGCUGGAGGAGGAGCGCACGACCAAAGAGAGUCUCUGCACUUCGUGACGUCUCUGGUCUUCAUUGAAGUGAGACGAUUCUUAGAUGUCCGUGGCACAAGGCACCUUGAGAGACAUUGGUGAACUUCAUCACAGCCGCAUGGAGUGAAGAGGUAUUUCAGACAGGCUCUCACAGUCCUCAUGAUCAGCACCAGUUGAGUGGUGUCAGAGGAAGCACCACGUGGUCUUCCUGGUGCUGGGCUUCACCAUCUGACCGCCGCUGGCCUGGAUUCCACGCUGACCCUCUGCCCUCCUCCCCUGCCCACCUGCUGCCAGGGCCUGGGCCUGGGAGAGAAGGAAGGGACAGCCCUUGGCAGUCGGGCCCCAGAGAGAGCCCGUCCAGCUGCUUGGCAGGAGCCUCGUGGUCAACCAGACCCUGGCCUGGGCAAAUCACCCCGGCCCUGGAGAACGUACCAGAUCUGCUCACUAAUGUGUCAGGAAGGUCCAGAGAGGGCAGCACAGCUGCAGCAGAGAGGAAACUGGGACCAUGAAGACCAGCUCCACGAUGCUGGCGAGACAUACCAAGGAUUGGAAGACAGAAUCCUGACAGCUGGGAUCCCACUCCCCAUUUUCUGAAAGAUCUGUAAGCUUCUGGCAAAGAUGACAUUUUAUUUCUAAACCUGCCCUCUGUGUAUCCAAAAAUGAAAAUUAACUAUAUUUCUUAAUAUCACCACUAUUCAAAACAUAUUAAAAUUUGCAAAUUG